AACGCUAGCUACAGGCUUAACACAUGCAAGUCGAGGGGCAGCAUGGUCUUAGCUUGCUAAGGCUGAUGGCGACCGGCGCACGGGUGAGUAACACGUAUCCAACCUGCCGUCUACUCUUGGCCAGCCUUCUGAAAGGAAGAUUAAUCCAGGAUGGGAUCAUGAGUUCACAUGUCCGCAUGAUUAAAGGUAUUUUCCGGUAGACGAUGGGGAUGCGUUCCAUUAGAUAGUAGGCGGGGUAACGGCCCACCUAGUCAACGAUGGAUAGGGGUUCUGAGAGGAAGGUCCCCCACAUUGGAACUGAGACACGGUCCAAACUCCUACGGGAGGCAGCAGUGAGGAAUAUUGGUCAAUGGGCGAUGGCCUGAACCAGCCAAGUAGCGUGAAGGAUGACUGCCCUAUGGGUUGUAAACUUCUUUUAUAAAGGAAUAAAGUCGGGUAUGCAUACCCGUUUGCAUGUACUUUAUGAAUAAGGAUCGGCUAACUCCGUGCCAGCAGCCGCGGUAAUACGGAGGAUCCGAGCGUUAUCCGGAUUUAUUGGGUUUAAAGGGAGCGUAGGCCGGAGAUUAAGCGUGUUGUGAAAUGUAGAUGCUCAACAUCUGAACUGCAGCGCGAACUGGUUUCCUUGAGUACGCACAAAGUGGGCGGAAUUCGUGGUGUAGCGGUGAAAUGCUUAGAUAUCACGAAGAACUCCGAUUG
rnacentral:rRNA from 1 species